rnacentral:misc_RNA from 1 species
CCAUAAUUGGAUCUUCUGUUCAGGUUAUAUCAAAUCUUUCAGCAACCACUGGUCCAUUGUUUUAUUUGGAGUCUUGGGGACGUUUCCCAAAGGAGAGGAAUCGCCUAUUUAAAUUGAUACUAGAUAGUAAGAGAGAAGGUAUCUUUUUCAUUAGUGGGGACGUUCAUUUUGGAGAAAUCUCUCGAUAUGACUGCGCUACUGGAUAUCCACUGUAUGACGUGACCUCAAGUGGACUUACCCAAGCUGUUGAGAAGGCAGUCCGGCGG